UAAGUAUCUAGCUUAAUGAUUUUUUUAGCAAAGUAAACACACUAUAAUAACCACCUCCCAGAUCAAGACAUUCACUAUUCUGGCACUCCAGAAGCCUCUUUUGUCCCCUUUCUAGUAAUUACUGCCACCCAAGGUAAACACUAUUCUGACUUCUACAGCUGUAGCUUAGUUUUGCCUGGUUUUGAACUCAUGUAAAUGGAAUUACACCCUAUAUACUCCUUUUUUACCAGUCUCCUUUUAUUCAACAUCGUGUAUGAGAUUCAUCCAUGUUGUUUCACGUAAUUUGUUGGGGUUUUUUUAUAGCUCUAUAGAUCUGGUUAUCUAUCAUUGCAUAACACGUUAGUUUUGGUUAUUGAUUACUGCAUAACAUGCCACUACAAACUUAGUGGAGUCAAACAGAAAGCCAUUUUAUUAUGCUCAUGGAUCCUGUGGGUUAGGAAUUUUGUGGGGAGAGCUUGCCCUGCUCUGCGAUGGUUGGGGUCUAGAAUCAUUUAGAGGCUCCUUCACUUAGAUGGGUGGUACCUUGGCUGGGAUGUCUUGAAGACCAAGGUCAUCUGGGAUUGUUGACCAGAGCACCUAUAUUUCUUUUUUUGAAAAGUGGUUAUUUUCUUUUUCCACUGGUAUAUCUAAAAUGCAAUUUCAAUGGAGAUGGAAAGUGCUACUUGAAAGUUGCUCUGCUUCUUUGCAACUUUUGAGUCCCUGGUGCACUGUUUGGAUAGUAUUCAGAUAUUGCUGCUAAAAAGGCUGUAAUGGGGUUUGUGAUCAUAUAUGACCAGAGAAGGUUAAUGUCAGUAUCCAGAAGCAGAGAUUGCUUUAAGGAAGAGAGGAGGUUUAGGAAAUGCCCGGUGAGCACAGUCUCUCUGGUAUUAGAUAAAAUCACAAGAAUUUGAGGAUGAGCUCCUCCAUCCUCGUUCUGGGCUGUUCUUGGUCAUAAGACACCAAGCUUAAAGUGGACAUGGCAUGUGUUGUGGCUUAUAUUGGUGAUCUAUUUUGUUCAGUGCAUAUGGUUCCUCUUCUGUUUGGGGAAUAAGUCAUCAUCUGAUCACCACUGUAGUAUGAAGGUGGCUGUGCCCUGGUUGCAGAUUCUCCAAGAGGAGAUUCUCCACGAGGGCUUGACUCUUCACAGCAUGUUGGCUGGGUUCCCAGAGCAAGAUUCCUGAGAAUGACUUAUCCUUGGAAGUCAAAGAACAUCAUUUCCACUCUAUUCUGUUGAUUGAAAUAGACACACACCUGCCUGGAUUCAAGAGGAGGGAACUUAAACCUCACGUCUUCAUGGGAGAUGUGUACAAAAAUUUGUGGCCAUUUUUAAAAAACACCACAAAUUAUAUACCACAAUUUUUUUAUCCAUUUUAUUGUAGAUGGAUAUUUGAGUAGUUUCUACUUUGGAGGAAUGAUGGAGAAUGCUGCUGUAAUCAUUCUUGUUUCUAUCUCUUGGUUUGCAUAUGCAUUCAUUUUAGUUGAUUAAAAAUCUAAGAGUAGAAUUGCUGGUCACAGUGUAUGUGUAUCUUCAGCUUUACUAGAUAGCUCCUGCCAAACAGUUUUCCAAAGUGAUUGUACAAAUUCAUACUUCUACCAGCAAAGUAUGAGCAUUCCAGUUGCUAUGCAGUCUGACCUCCACUUGUUACUGUCAGUUCAACAUUUAAAAAAUGUUUUAACCAUUCUGUGGUUAUCUAGAAGGUCUCAGUGUAGUUUAAAUUGACAUUUCCCUGAUAACUAGUGAUUUGAGCACCUUUUCAUAUGCUUAUUAGCUCUUUGGAUAGUCUGUUGUGAUGUGCCUUUUCAAGUUUUUGCCCAUCUUUGACAAAUUGGGUUGUAGGUCUUUUUUUCUUAUUAUAAUGUUGUAGUUUUUAUGUAUUCUGGAUGUGAAUCUUUGUUGAAUAUAGGAAUUGGAACAAUCUCUUCCCAUCCUGUUGCUUGCCAUUUCUCUCCUGUAAUGUGUUUUUUGAUAAAUGAAAUUCUAAAUUUUAAUGAAUUCCAGCUUACCAAUGUUUUCCUUUAUGGAUAAUGUUUUUUUUUGUGUGUGUGUGUGUGUGUGUGUCUUCUUUAUGAAGUUUUUGCUACCCUGUGGUCAUUAAGAUAUUUUCUUAUGUUAUCUUCUAGAAACUUUAUUAUUUUACCUUUCACAUUUAGGUCUAAGUCUCAGGGAAUUGGUUUUUGUGUGUUGUGAGGUAGCCAUCAAGGUUUCUUUUUUUUUUUUAUACAUAUGCUUGUCUCUAUGAGUAAUAACAGGUAGCAUUGGGUCAGAGGGACACAAGCCUGGGAGUUAGGGGUCCUGUAUUCUCAGCCUUAACCUACAUUUAAAGCACCUUCUGAACUUGGGCGUAUUAUCCUCCCAGUUAUCCCUCCUCUCAGACUCCUUCCUUACCCCCUCCCUCCCUUCCUUCUUUCUUUUUCCUCCCAUCUGUCCAACUUCUCUUCCUUGUCUUUCUUCUUCCUGCUUUCCCUUUGACCCUCCAUUUGUCCACUUUUCCUUUGUCCAUCCAGGCAUUCCAUUUGUCUGUCUAUUUUUCUGCCCAUCCAUCUGCCUGUCCUCUUUGUUCUGUCUCUCUCUUGUUCACCCUCUCUCACUCUCUUGGGUUCAUCUCAUGCACAGGCUUGCUCAUUCCUCCACUCACACAGUCACUCCUUCCCUCACUCUCAUUUAUGGUUCACCUGUGAAUGGCUGUGCUGGUACAGCCAAUACUGGAGCCCAGAUGAGUCUGGGGGGCUUCUCCCCUUCUAUGGGGGCUCUGUCCUUCCCUGAUGACAGCCCUUUCCACAGCUCCUAAGCCAGGCACCACGUUCCUGCCUAUUUCAUCAUCACCUGUGCAUCCAGAAGCCACCACAUAGAUCUGGGGGCCCCUUUUCCUUCCCAAGAGGAGCUCUCCAGCCCCACACCUCCACCAGCCAAUUGUAACUCAAGAGCUGGGAAGCCAAGCUUUAGGGUGCAACCUGAAGACCCUCAUAGUCAACUUCACCAUCUACAACCUCCAGUAUUGAACAGACAUGAGCAACGGCUCAGCAACGUUCAACCUCACCGACAGAGUCCUGAAGCACCUGGUGAGACCCAGGUCCCAGCAGCUCCUGGUGGGAUAAAUGCCAGCCAGCUGCUCCCCACCCCCUGUCCUUCCUGCUCAUCCUUCUCCUCCUUCAUCCCCAGCUUAGGUCCUUGUUCAAGAGCAGCCUGGGCCUCUUCUAUUCUGGUUGCAGACUGACUUCCCUCAGGCCUGAGAAGGAUGGGGCAGCCACAAGUGUGGAUGCCAUCUGCACCUCCCACCCUGACCCCAUGGACCAUGGCAGAGAGCAUGACAGAGACGCUGUGUGACAGAGAGUAGCUUUACUGGGAGCUGAACCAGCUGACCCACCGUAUCACCCAGAUGGGUCUUUACACCCUGGUCAGGGACAACCUCUUUUCAGUGGAGUGGAGCCAUCAGUUCAUCUAGUGACAGACAAGCCAACAAGUAGUCCCAGGCCGCAGCACUUCCAGCUGAAUUUUGCUGUCACCAACCUACUCUAUUCCCAGGACACAGCCCAGCCAAGCACCACCAAACAUCAGUGGAACAAGAGAAGUAUUGAGGAUGCGAUGUUGAACCAUCCUUACAUCCCUGGGAUAAAUCCUACUUGACCAUGGGGAAUAUUAGCACUGGGCUAACAUCUGUGCCAAUCUUCCUCUAUUUUGUAUGUGAGUUGCCACCACAUCAUGGCUAAUGAGUGGUGUAGUUCUGUGCCCAGGAUCCAAACUCAUGAACCUGGGCCACCAAAACAGAAUGCUCUGAACAUAAGCACUAGGCCAUGGGGCUGGUCCCUGAGAUUUUCUAUUUCUUCAUGAUUCAGUCUUGGAACAUGUUAUGUUUUGAGAAAUUUAUCCAUUUCUUCUAGGUUGUCCAAUUUGUUGGCGUAGAAUUUUUCAUAGUAGUCUUAUAAUCUUUUGCAUGUUUGUGGUACCAAUUGUAACUUCUCUUCUUUUAUUUCUGAUUUUACUUGAGCCCUCUCUCUUUUUUCUUGGUGACUCUAGCUAAAAGUUUGUCAAUUUUUUUUUAUCUUUUUAAGGAACCAGCUUUUACAUUCAUUGAUCUUUUCUAUUGGUUUUUUUUUUUUUUUUGGCUCUAUAUAAUUUUUUCAACCUUGAUCUUUAUUAUUUCCUUUCUUCUACUAACUUUGGGCGUUAUUUGUUCAUGUUUCCUAAUUCAUUUAGGUAUAUAGGUAUAUUGUUUAUUUGAGAUAUUUCUGGUUUCUUGAGGUAGGCCUACAUUGUUAUAAACUUUCCUCUUAAAACUAUUUUUGCUCCAUCUCAUAGAUUUUGGUAUGUUGUAUUUCCAUUUUCAUUUGUCUCAAGGUAUAUUUUUAUUUCUCCUUUGAUUUCUUUCUUGACCCAUUGGUUGUUCAGAGACAUCUUUAUUGAAAGUCUUCUUAGAUACUUCACUACAUACAUAUCAGAGUUAGUAUAAUUUAUAUUUACUGAAAUAACAUUGCUGAAUGCAGGUUGAAAAUAGCUUUGUUAGGACAUCUUUAUUAAAAGUCUUUAUAAACAGUUUACUACAUGCAUUAAAGAAUGAGUAUCACUUACAAUCCUUGAAAUGACACUAUGCUGAACAGAGCUUGUAAGCAGCUUAGUUAGAAAUGUAUUACAAGUCUUUAUAAACAGUUAUCUACAUGCACUACAGAUGGCUAUCACUUACAAUCAUUGAAAUAAAAAUGUACUGAAUGCAGUUUGCAAGCAUCUUUGAAAGAAACAUCUUUAUUACAAGUAUUCUUAAAUAUGCAUUUCAGAAUAUGUAUCACUUCCAUUCACUGAAAUAACAAUGGGCUGCAUUCAGUACUGUGUUAUUUCAGGGAUGAGGGAUAUAUAUUCUUAAUGUAUCUAUUAAAUUGUUUUAGAACACUUGUAAUACAAAUGUAUCUAAGAAUGUUACUUGCAAGCUAUAAUUGUGGUAUUUGACGAAUGGAAGAAAUAUCCAUUUUUUAAUGCAUGUAGUGGAGAUUAUGGGGACGAUUGUAAUAAAGAUGUUUCUAAGAUGUAAUAAAGAUGUUUCUGAUGCUAGUUGAAAGCCACAUUGAGUGCAGUGUUUUAUCAGUUAAUGUAAGUAGCACCUAUUCUGAAAUGCUUGUGGUGAAGUAUUUAACACCAUUAUAAAGAUAUUUCUAAGAAGGCUACAUGCAAGCAUCUUUGAGAAAAGUGUUAUAUCAGUGUUAGGAAAUUAUACCCAUUCAGUAAUGCAUGCAGUGAAGAGUUGAGAACAAUUGUAAUAGAGGUGUAUCUAAGAGACAGAAUAAUAUCAGAAAAUGGAAGUAAAUUGUUUUUGUACACUUGUAAUAAAGUUGUUUUUAGGAGUGCCACUUACAAGCUGCAUUGAGAUCUGUGUUACUUCAGUGAAUGCAAGUGAUACACAUUCUGUAAUGCAUACAACAAAGUGUUAAGAACACUUGUAACUAAGAUGAUUCUAAGAAUAAUACUUGCGUGCUGCAUUCAGUGCAGUGUUAUUUCUGUUAAUAUAAGUAAUUCCCAUUCAGAAAUAAUUGUGGUGAAGUGUUUGAGAAAUAUUGUAAUGAAGAUGUUUCUAAGAAAGCUCUUGCAAGCAACACUGAGAGCUGUGUUAUUUCAGUGAAUAGAAGUUACACACAAUCUGUAAUGCUUGUAGUGAGCUGUUGUGAGACACUUGUAAUAAAGAUAUUUCUACAAACAAAACAUGCAAGCUGCAUUCAGACAAGUGUUAUUCCUGUGAAUGAAAGUGACACUUUGUAGUGUAUGUAGUAAAUUGCUUUAGAACACUUGUAGAAAUGUGUUUCUAAGAUCACUACUCAUACACUGCAUUCGUUGUUAUGUCAGUGAAAGAUAGUGAUACCCAUUAUGUAAUGUAUUUAGUAAGGUGUUUAAGAACACUGUAAUAAAGAUGUUUUUAAGAUCCCUACUUGUAAGCUGUGUUAAGAUCAGCCUCAUUUCAGUGUAUUGAAAUGAUACAAUUUCUGUAAUGCAUGUAGUGAAGUGUUUCAUGACACUUGUAAUAAAGAUGUUUUGAGGAAUGCUAAUUGCAAGCUGCAUCUAGAACCAUGUCAUUUUAGUUUAAGAAAGUGAUACCCUUUCUCUAAUGAGUGCCGUGAUGUUUUUAAGAACACUUGUAAUAAAGAAUUGUCUAAGAAAGCCCCUUCCAAGUUGUUUUAACACUGUAUUUCCCUUUUUCCCUGUUGAAUGAAGUGACAAACGUUAAGUAAUGCAUGUAGUGAAAUGUUUCAGAACGCUUAUAAUAAUGAUAUUUCUAAGAAUGCUGCUGCAAGCUGUAUCAAUAGCAGUGUUAUUUCACUACCUGGCAGUGAUACUCAUCAUGUAAUACAUGUAAUAAAGUGUUUAGGAACCCUGUAAUAGAUAUGUUUCUAAGAAUGGUGCUUUUACGAUGCCCACUGUUGAGGCAAGUGUUAUUUAAGUGAAUGAAGUGAUACCACCUCUGUAAUGCGUAUAGUGUGUGAAUAAGAACACCUAUAAAACAAAAUGUUUCUAACAAGCUACUUGCAAGCUGCAUUGAGAAGAAUAUAUUGUCAGUUAAUGCAUUUGAUAACAUAUUCUGUAAUAGAUGUAGUGAAUUAUUUAGACCACUUAUGUUAAGGAUAGUUCUAAUAAGCUGCCUGUAAGGUACAUUCAGACCAGUGUUAUUUCAGUGUGUGGUGAUGGGUGUCACUUUACCCAUUCUGCAAUGCAGUGAAAGGACACAGUGAUAAAGAUGGUUCUAAUAAAGCUGCUUGCAAGAGGCUUUUAGAUCAGAGUUAUAUCAGUAAAAUAAUGUGACACCCUUUCUGUCAUACACCCAGUGACUUUUUUUUUUUAUGAGGAAGACCAGCCCUGAGCUAACAUCCAAUGCGAAUCCUCCUCUUUUUGCUGAGGAAGAGUGUCCCUGGGCUAACAUCCAUGCCCACCUUCCUCUACUUUCUAUGGGAUGCCACCUCAGCAUGGCUUGACAAACAGUGCCUCAGUGCACACCCAGGAUCUGAGCCUGUGAAAUACCGGCCAUUGAAGCAGCAGAGUGUGCUCACUUAACCGCUGCGCCACUAGGCCAGCCCCAUACACUCAGAGACUUUUUAAAGAACACUUGUAUUAGAGAUGUUUCUAAGACUUCCACUUGCAAGCCCUAUUAGAACUGUGUUUCUUUAAUGAAUGGAAGUGAUACUUAAUAGUAAUGUAUGUGGUGAAGUGAAUAAGAACACUGUUAUAAAGAAGUUUCAAAAAGUAAAUCUUAAAAGUUGUCAUCACAAGAAAAAGCUUUACUAUGUAUUAAGAUGAAUGUUAACUAAACUUAUUGUGGUGAUCAUUUCACAAUAUAAACAAAUGUUGAAUUAUUAUUGUAUACUUGAAUCUAAUAUAACAUUAUAUAUCAAUUAUACCUCAAUUUUUAGAAAAAUGAAAUUUCUAAGACCUCUACUUCACUACUUUCAAACUGCAGUAUGAACUGUGUUAUUUCAAUAAUGAAAGUGAUGCUCAUUCUGUAAUGCAUGUAAUGAACUGUUUCAGAACUCUUGUAAUAAUGGUGAUUGUAAGAAUGCUACUCUCAAAUUGCAUUCAUACCAGUGUUAAUUUAUGAAUGGAAGUGAAACCCAUUCUGAAAUGCUUAUGUUGAAGUCCUCGAGAUCAUUUGUAAUAAAUAAGUUUCUAACUUUCUGUUUCCAAGCUGCAUGAGGAGUCUGUUAUUUCAGUGAAUGGAAGUAAUAUGCAUCCUGUAAUACAUGUAAUUACAUGCUUCAGAAUAGUUGUAAUAGUGAUGUCAUCAUCAUGGUGAUGUGAGAUAAUCCCUUUGUCUCUCCCAUUGAAUCUACAACAAGUAAAACAUUCAUAAUUCAACAAAGGCUAAAUUACCCAAAACACCAUGACAGUGGAGAGAUCCACACAUCAAUACAUAUGAAGGGGGUGGAUUGGAGCACAUAGAGGAGGAAAACAGGGAGAAAAGUAGGGACAGUGCCCAGGAUCCUAGCUUCUGAUAGUGGCAGCUGAACCAGCUGCCUUCAACCCCAGAGAACCCAGUGGGCAGCAGUGGAGAUAUGUGUGAGACUCUAGCCUCCCAACACUGGUGGAAUCUGUGGCCACUAGGAGCAGAGCAGCAGUAGAGGUGGAGCCACAUGAUCCUGGGCCCCUGGCUGCAGCUCAGAGCCUGGUAGCAGCAGUGGAGGUGCACACACAACUCCAGCCUUCCAAUGGCAGUGACACCUGCAACCACAAGGAAAUGGGCAACAGCAGAGGUGGUGCCUCAUGAACCUGGCCCCCUCCCCACUCUCUUGCUUUUCCCACUGCAGUGGCAGUGCUUCCAACUCAGGUGAUCCCAGACGCAGCAGAGGUGUCAGUUAUCCUGUGCCCCUGGCAGCAAAACCACUGACUGCAGUGACAUCAGGAACAGCAAGGCAUCAGUGACCCCCAGAGGCACAGGUGGUAAUGACAAGAGUACCAGUGACACCCUAAUAGAGGCAGUGUAGGGUGGAAAGUGCCAAACCUCAAAUAUAGCGAGAGACAGCGCAGGUAAGAGAAACCAAAAAUUGAUGCUAUAGCACCACCUACUGAAAAACAAAAGAAAGGCCUCUAAUCUCCAACUGCUUGAAUAGUUAGAAUCAAAACAAAGCUAUACCUAAAUAAGAAAAGUGUUCACCAUGACAGUGUUCUGGCAGAGGAAUAACUCAUCAAUCACCACAAAAAGUCAUGGUAACACAGCAUGACAAAGAGAAAAUAACAAUUCCCCAGAAAUCAAACAUAAAGUCUUGGAAGAUUGUGAUCUACCUGAUAAGAAUUCAAAAUACCUGUCAUGAAGAAACUCAAUGAACAACAAAAAAGCUCAGAAAGGCAGUUCAAUGAGCUCAGGAAUAAAAUUAAUGAACAGAACGGAACUCUAAAAAAGAACCAAUGAAACUCUGGAGCUGAAGAACUCAAUAAACGAGAUGAAACAUGGAUUUGAAAGCAUUAGAAAUAGAGAAGACCAUAUGGAAGAGAUUUAAUUAGCAAGCUCAAAGAUAGAAAUUUACCUCCUUCUCCUACAGGUAGAAGAGGAGAAAGAACUAAGAUUUUUUUGAAAUGUAGAAAUUCUAUGAGAAUUACAUGACUCCACUAAAAAGGGCAACAUAAAUGUAAUGGGUAUCCCAGAAGGAAAAGAGAGAGAGAAGGGAGCAGAGAGCUUAUUUGAAGAAAUAAUGGCUUAGAACUUUCCAAAUCUGGGGAAGAAACUAGAUAUAUAAAUCCACGAAGCUACUAGAACACCCAAUUUUCUCAAUGCAAAAGACUUUCUCCAAAAUAAAAGAUAAUACAACUGUCAAAAGUCAAUGACCAAAAAAGUAUUAAAGGCAGCCGGGGGAAAAAUCCAGUGACUUAC